rnacentral:misc_RNA from 1 species
UCAUAAUGAUGUUCAUGAUGGUGCUCGUGAUCAUGAUCGUGGUCAUGGUCAUGAUGGUGAUGAUGCUCAUGUUCAUCUUCGUCAUCAUCGUCAUGG